UUGGAGGGCAAGUCUGGUGCCAGCAGCCGCGGUAAUUCCAGCUCCAAUAGCGUAUAUUAAAGUUGUUGCAGUUAAAAAGCUCGUAGUUGAAUUUCGGGGUUAGCAGGUCGGUCGUGCCAUCGGUAUGAACUGGUCUCGCUGAUCCCUCCCUCUUGACGAACUGUGAUGCCAUUAAUUUGGUGUCGCAGGGAAUCAGGACUGUUACUUUGAAAAAAUUAGAGUGUUUAAAGCAGGCUCACGCUUGAAUACAUUAGCAUGGAAUAAUGAAAUAGGACGUUUGAUCCUAUUUUGUUGGCUUCUAGGAUUGACGUAAUGAUUAAUAGGGAUAGUUGGGGGCAUUAGUAUUCAAUUGUCAGAGGUGAAAUUCUUGGAUUUAUUGAAGACUAACUACUGCGAAAGCAUUUGCCAAGGAUGUUUUCAUUAAUCAAGAACGAAAGUUAGGGGAUCGAAGACGAUCAGAUACCGUCGUAGUCUUAACCAUAAACUAUGCCGACUAGGGAUCGGAUGAUGUUAAUUUUUUAAUGACUCAUUCGGCGCCUUACGGGAAAC
rnacentral:rRNA from 1 species